rnacentral:rRNA from 1 species
UAAAGCGCAUGCAGGCGGCCUGUUAAGUCAGAUGUAGAAAGGCCCGGGGACUUAACCGUACGGUAAGUUGCUAUUUAGUAAACGUGGCGAGGCUAGAGUCUUGUAGAGGGGGGUAGGAAUUUCAGGUGUAGCGGUGAAAUGCGUAGAGAUCUGAAGGAAUACCAGUGGCGAAGGCGGCCCCCUGGACAAAGACUGACGCUCAGAUGCGAAAGCGUGGGGAGCAAACAGGAUUAGAUACCCUGGUAG